AUGGAUCUUGGUGAAACCGUAGGAAAAUUUUUAAUUUUCUGCAACGUUCCCCAACAGCACGUGACGAAGAAUCUUUGCGUGACCCUGGUUGGCUUCUUGGGCGUGUAUGGGAAGACAAAAGAUACACCUGAGGCACGGGAGGACCAGCAACGUAUGCACGAAGAAGACGACAUACAUCAGGGUCAUGCAAGCUACGCUCUUACCAAAGAAGAGAAGGAAAUCUUCUUUGAAUGCCUGCUCAGUAUUAAGGUACCGUCUGGCUUCUCGUCGAAUAUAAAGGGAAUAAUAAACAUCGCAGAGAAAAAGUUCCAGAACCUAAAGUCUCAUGACUGCCACGUGAUUAUGACGCAACUGCUUCCGGUUGCAUUGAGGGGGCUUCUACCGGAAAACGUUCGAUUAGCCAUUGUGAAGCUAUGUGCAUUUCUCAAUGCAAUCUCUUAG
rnacentral:rRNA from 1 species